rnacentral:rRNA from 1 species
ACGAACGCUGGCGGCGUGCCUAACACAUGCAAGUCAACGGGGAUUUGUUUCGGCAGAAUCCUAGUGGCGAACGGGUGAGUAACGCGUAGGCAACCUGCCCUCCGGCCGGGGGACAACACUCCGAAAGGGGUGCUAAUACCGGAUACGAAGUCUGUGCCGCAUGGUACGGAUUUGAAAGAUGGCCUCUAUUUAUAAGCUAUCGCCGGGGGAUGGGCCUGCGUCCGAUUAGCUGGUUGGUGGGGUAACGGCCUACCAAGGCGACGAUCGGUAGCCGGUCUGAGAGGAUGAACGGCCACAUUGGGACUGAGACACGGCCCAGACUCCUACGGGAGGCAGCAGUGGGGAAUCUUCCGCAAUGGGCGCAAGCCUGACGGAGCAACGCCGCGUGAGUGAGGAAGUUCUUCGGAACGUAAAGCUCUGUUGUUCCUGACGAACCUCCCCUCUAUCAACAACGGAGGGGACUGACGGUAGGGAACGAGGAAGCCACGGCUAACUACGUGCCAGCCGCCGC